rnacentral:rRNA from 1 species
UACGUAGGGUGCGAGCGUUAAUCGGAAUUACUGGGCGUAAAGCGUGCGCAGGCGGUUCGUUAUGUCCGAUGUGAAAGCCCCGAGCUUAACUUGGGAAUGGCAUUGGAAACUGGCGGGCUGGAGUGCGGCAGAGGGGGGUGGAAUUCCACGUGUAGCAGUGAAAUGCGUAGAGAUGUGGAGGAACACCGAUGGCGAAGGCAGCCUCCUGGGCCAAUACUGACGCUGAGGCACGAAAGCGUGGGGAGCAAACAGG